rnacentral:rRNA from 1 species
GACGAACGCUGGCGGCGUGCUUAACACAUGCAAGUCGAACGGAAAGGCCCUGCUUUUGUGGGGUGCUCGAGUGGCGAACGGGUGAGUAACACGCGAGUAACCUGCCCUUGACUUUGGGAUAACUUCAGGAAACUGGGGCUAAUACCGGAUAGGAGCUCCUGCUGCAUGGUGGGGGUUGGAAAGUUUCGGCGGUUGGGGAUGGACUCGCGGCUUAUCAGCUUGUUGGUGGGGUAGUGGCUUACCAAGGCUUUGACGGGUAGCCGGCCUGAGAGGGUGACCGGCCACAUUGGGACUGAGAUACGGCCCAGACUCCUACGGGAGGCAGCAGUGGGGAAUAUUGCACAAUGGGCGGAAGCCCGAUGCAGCAACGCCGCGUGCGGGAUGACGGCCUUCGGGUUGUAAACCGCUUUCGCCUGUGACGAAGCGUGAGUGACGGUAAUGGGUAAAGAAGCACCGGCUAACUACGUGCCAGCAGCCGCGGUGAUACGUAGGGUGCGAGCGUUGUCCGGAUUUAUUGGGCGUAAAGGGCUCGUAGGUGGUUGAUCGCGUCGGAAGUGUAAUCUUGGGGCUUAACCCUGAGCGUGCUUUCGAUACGGGUUGACUUGAGGAAGGUAGGGGAGAAUGGAAUUCCUGGUGGAGCGGUGGAAUGCGCAGAUAUCAGGAGGAACACCAGUGGCGAAGGCGGUUCUCUGGGCCUUUCCUGACGCUGAGGAGCGAAAGCGUGGGGAGCGAACAGGCUUAGAUACCCUGGUAGUCCACGCUGUAAACGGUGGGUACUAGGUGUGGGGUCCAUUCCACGGGUUCCGUGCCGUAGCUAACGCUUUAAGUACCCCGCCUGGGGAGUACGGCCGCAAGGCUAAAACUCAAAGGAAUUGACGGGGCCCCGCACAAGCGGCGGAGCAUGCGGAUUAAUUCGAUGCAACGCGUAGAACCUUACCUGGGUUUGACAUGGAUCGGGAGUGCUCAGAGAUGGGUGUGCCUCUUUUGGGGUCGGUUCACAGGUGGUGCAUGGCUGUCGUCAGCUCGUGUCGUGAGAUGUUGGGUUAAGUCCCGCAACGAGCGCAACCCUUGUUCACUGUUGCCAGCACGUUAUGGUGGGGACUCAGUGGAGACCGCCGGGGUCAACUCGGAGGAAGGUGGGGAUGACGUCAAGUCAUCAUGCCCCUUAUGUCCAGGGCUUCACGCAUGCUACAAUGGCUGGUACAGAGAGUGGCGAGCCUGUGAGGGUGAGCGAAUCUCGGAAAGCCGGUCUCAGUUCGGAUUGGGGUCUGCAACUCGACCUCAUGAAGUCGGAGUCGCUAGUAAUCGCAGAUCAGCAACGCUGCGGUGAAUACGUUCCCG